rnacentral:rRNA from 1 species
GACGAACGCUGGCGGCGUGCUUAACACAUGCAAGUCGAACGGAAAGGCCCUGCUUUUGUGGGGUGCUCGAGUGGCGAACGGGUGAGUAACACGUGAGUAACCUGCCCUUGACUUUGGGAUAACUUCAGGAAACUGGGGCUAAUACCGGAUAGGAGCUCCUGCUGCAUGGUGGGGGUUGGAAAGUUUCGGCGGUUGGGGAUGGACUCGCGGCUUAUCAGCUUGUUGGUGGGGUAGUGGCUUACCAAGGCUUUGACGGGUAGCCGGCCUGAGAGGGUGACCGGCCACAUUGGGACUGAGAUACGGCCCCGACUCCUACGGGAGGCAGCAGUGGGGAAUAUUGCACAAUGGGCGGAAGUCUGAUGCAGCAACGCCGCGUGCGGGAUGACGGCCUUCGGGUUGUAAACCGCUUUCGCCUGCGACGAAGCGUGAGUGACGGUAAUGGGUAAAGAAGCACCGGCUAACUACGUG